rnacentral:rRNA from 1 species
UACGAAGGGGGCUAGCGUUGUUCGGAAUUACUGGGCGUAAAGGGCGCGUAGGCGGUGUGUCAAGUCAGGCGUGAAAGCCCCGGGCUCAACCUGGGAACAGCGCUUGAGACUGGCACGCUCGAGUUCGGGAGAGGAUGGUGGAAUUCCCAGUGUAGAGGUGAAAUUCGUAGAUAUUGGGAGGAACACCGGUGGCGAAGGCGGCUACCUGGACCGGUACUGACGCUGAGGCGCGAAAGCUAGGGUAGCAAACAGG